GUGGAAGACUCGCGAGAUUUGUCGGCCUCACGCGCGAUGAUUUGGUCCAACUCCCCCGCUGAACUUUUUGGUGGGCAGGCCAAGAGGCGGCGUUUGGAAUGGAGGCAAGAGACUCGAGCGGAAACGGAGGAGGGCUUAACUUGCCGAGAGGAGGAGGGAUGUGGGCGGCUGGUGGACGUACGAGAGUACCGCUAAAGGAAAAUAUUAUUCCGUCGUUGUGGCUCCUCCGAGCGCGAAGGCGUCCGUCCUUUCAUCCCCGGCAGCAACGGCGCUGUCUCCUCGGCUCGGCGAUCGAGACGACGUCGACAAAGAUGAUGAACAGAUAGCAAAGAAGAGAAGAUGGCGUCCUUUGGCCUCCCUUGUGCCAGGAAGAAAGAGCCAGAGCUGGAGAGGAAGCUGAGGGCCAACGACCGCGAAUACAACCUCUCCUUCAAAUAUGCCACGAAUGCCAUCAAGACCUCCAAGUACAACUUUUUCACCUUCCUACCUCUCAACCUCUUUGAGCAGUUCCAGAGGAUC